rnacentral:tRNA from 1 species
GCAAAUAUACAUUAAUKGGUUAAAUCGUUUGUCUUCCAAACAAAUAAUAUGAGUUCGAGUCUCAUUAUUUGCU